rnacentral:rRNA from 1 species
AACGAACGCUGGCGGCAUGCCUAACACAUGCAAGUCGAACGAAGCCUUCGGGCUGAGUGGCGCACGGGUGCGUAACGCGAGGAAAUCUGCGCUUGGGUUCGGAAUAACAGUUGGAAACGUCUGCUAAUACCGGAUGAUGACGAAGGUCCAACGAAUUAUCGCGAGAGGAUGAGCCGGCGUAGGAUAAGCUAGCUGGUGUGGUAAAGGCGCACCAAGGCGACGCUCCUUAGCUGGUCUGAGAGGAUGAUCAGACACACUGGGAAUGAGACACGGUGCAGAAUCUUACAGGAGGCAGCAGUGGGUAAUAUUGGACAAUGGGCGAAGGGCUGAUCCAGCAAUGCCGCGUGAGUGAUGAAGGUCAUAGGGUUGUAAAGCUCUUUUACCCGGAAUGAUAAUGACAGUACCGGGAGAAUAAGCCCCUGCUAACUCCGUGCCAGCCGCCGCGGUAA